UAAAAGAUGCUAUUAGUUUUAUGUUUUUUCCUUGAAGUUUUAAAAUGCAAGAAGUUGAUAUGUUUUAAGUAAAAAUGUACAGACAAAAUUUAAACAAAAAAUUUUUGAUUCCUGACCAAGAAAUUAUGUAUGACAUGUAAAAUGUAGACUAUAAUAUAACAUUCUACCAUCCCACAUCUGUUGUCAAGAGAAUACAAAUAACGACACAGAUGUAUUCUUGUUUCUUGCACAAAUGGGUGAUGACAUUUAUGCAUUCAAUUACGUAAUGAUAUGUUUUCUAUAAAUAUAAAUCAUAAAUUAAGAAAAUAAAGCACAAUUUUAUGUAAAUUAUUUAUUAAUUUGUAUUUAAACGAGAACUAUUUAAGUGUAGAUGCACUUGAGAAAGAGAUUCAUUGUACAAACUUUGUUCAUCAAAGAAAAUUUGAUCAGUGUCUAAUACUGGCAGGAUAUUAGUUUACAGCGAUUCAUUCUACAGCACUUCUACCCUAAUGGCCUAGCAUUCUAGGGAGAUUCAAUAAAAUAAUCUUGUUAUUUAAGACUCUCAUGCAUACUCACUCGGAUUAACUUGAAAGCCUUACAACUUAUAACAAUAUAUAACAAUAAAUAUGAAAACAAUUAAUAACAACAUGUAAAGUUAACAAUGCAAAACUAUGUAUACAUUUGUGCAGUUACUUGCAAAUAAUUGUUAGGUCAGAAAGUCCAAAUUUUUUUGGCAGGUUAUAAGCUGAAAAAUAUUAGCUAGUUUAUAGCUAUUCUGGUUUUCAUAUUUUACAUAUCCUCAUAUUGAAGUUCACCAUUCAGAGGCGUAUUUAUGCGGUCCAGCCCAGAGAAAAAUGGCAUAAACAAAUAAUAAAAACAGACCUCUUAGACAAUAAAAAAAAUUAAUGCAUUAAUUUCACAUUUACAGUAUUAAUUCUAAAUGAGAUUCAUGUUAAGUUCAGACAUUGAUUGUAAAAACCAUCUAUUAAAAUC
rnacentral:lncRNA from 1 species